CUGGUGAUGCGAGCGCUAAUGGCUUUAUGAACGGUGAUGUUAGACCUGAACAAGCUCGACCACUCCGACUGCAGCCUCACAGUACUAUCGUACCCCAGGUCUGGUAAGGUCGAGAACACUGUGUGUUCCCUGUUUAACACAAACAACAUAUAGCUUAUACAUGUCACGGUUGUGACAUGCAACACCAGCAAGUGACCACUAGGUGUCACCGUGGAGACGAGUAUCGGUUUGUUUCGAAGCCUCGACACAGUUCGGCACAUUGCGUCAGUGUUCCACAAAGCCUCUCUCUGGCCCACUGACAUGCGUACCUGAAGGCGGGGACUGGAAGUCUUCACAGUGUAAAACACACAAACUCAUCCUCACACUCACUGCAGUGGGACUUUAACUGGACCGCUGGAUCUUACGAGUUGAGCGUUUGUUUGUUUUUUUCAUCAAAGAAACACCGUACAUUUAACCACCUCCAGCGGUUUCUCAUCUACUUUUUGUUGCGGAAUUUGGAGAGGAAAGUAGUCCCGUCCAUCACAUACAACACUUAUCAACAUUUGAAUGCUGUUGAGUCUUUAAAACUCAGCUGACCUGUUGGUCAUCGAGCCUCCCAGAAGAGCAAUCGUGUCCGUCGAGUUUAAAGAUGAAACUGGUUCAGGUCAACAAGACUUGUGCUGAACUUUGCAUGGGUGGUGUAUGCAACUACUCCACAUCACUACCAGAUUUCCUACAGAAGGAGGACUGUUAUUACAGCUGGAAAUCACAGGAUGGGACUGUGCUGGGCAAGGAAAGAUUUUUGACUCGUGAUGACUGUGAGAGUGGAAUUCACAAAGUUGUACGGUGUCUUAAUCCAAGUUAUGUGAGGGAAUACAUCUUUCACAUUUUCAACAGCACUACGCCAACCCCUGAAGCUGCUAAUAUGCGCGAAAGCAUGUACACCACUGUGAACCCUGACCCUCCCCAAUCUCAAAGCAACACCAUCGUCUCCAUCUCCAUCAUCGUGGUUGCCAUUCUGAUCGUAGGCCUGAUUGUAGGAAUGUGCUACAGAAAACGAAGGGUGAUAGUAGGACUCAGGGAGAAAUUGAUUUGUGGCUGCUGUCAAGGAGCAGAUGAAAAUAACAGGUCAGACAUCCCACUUGGGGACAUUGAACCAAGAAACAAUGAAGAUGAUGCUCAACUGAACACCUCAAAUACUGAAAGCGUGGACCCUGGUGAUGCGAGCGCUAACCGCUUUAUGAACGGUGAUGUUAGAACUGAAGAAGCUCGACCACUCCGACUGCAUCCUUACAGUUGAUGUGUGCAGAGUCGUCGAGAGCGAGUGAGGAUUACGGUUCGGCUUCAGAACUUCUGUCCAGUCUGCUUCUGCCUUUUCUACAGUCGCACUUUGCCGACAGUUUCGCAUCUGGGACACUUUUUAAAUCUGCAUUAAAAUUAAGUAGUUAAACUGAUACUGUGGUAUUAUAGGGCUCUAGAUAAAAGUGUCAUUUUUAAUCAUGACAAAGCAGAUCAAAUUUUAACUUUACACAUUGUUUUUAUACUUUGUAGCGGUAUUUUGGAGUAAAAAUGUAUUUUCAUAUGUAAUACUUGCUAUAUAAAUAACAUUUAUAAGAACUCAUUUUUGCCAAAGAAAGGGAAGAUCAAAGCAAAGAACCCCAAGAUAAAUUAAAAAACUUUUAGCUUCUUUUCUGCACUUUAAAACACUGCACAGCUGUCGGAAUCAAACCUGUAGCAUAGGCUCUUUAAGCUGUAGGUCACCUGACCAUGCCAACAUGACAGAUGUAGUAUGUCCAGAUUGUUUUCAUGCCUACUGCUUAUACUGAUACCUACAUACUGUAUCAGCGGCCGAGCUGUACGUACUGUCAUAUUAUGCAAUUUCAGACACUGGGUGUGUGUGUAUCUCUCAUUCCUGGCUAACUCUUAGGCCACUCAAGACUCGUUCCACUUUAGUUUACUUAUAAGCCCUUUCCUUAACUUGCACUGUAAGGCCCAAACUUUAGACUGGGUCAUCAUCAACUCUACGUUAUCGAAUCGAUGCUAUAAAGAGCACCAAUGGUGCCCAGUGCUGAUUCCUUUUUAUUUUCUCAUUGUGAUUGACCUUUGCUAUCUCCUUUAUUUUUUCUGUCUGUUCUGUAUGUAAUUUAUUUUGUGUGUAAAUUUGUUAGUAUUCUUUAAAUGCUGUCACCAGGUGUAGAGCUCGGCUGUUUGUCUGUUUUGCUUUAUUAUAUUCUUUUUUUUUUUUUUUUUUUUUUACACGGUCGGUGUGUGUGUGUGUGUGUGUGUGUGUGUGUGUGUGUGUGUGUGUGUGUGUGUCUUAGCGGUUAGGGCUCUGGGUUACUGAUUAGGUCGGGGGUUCAAGCCCCAGCACUGUCAAGCUACCACUGUCCCUUGAGCAAGCCUUAACCCUCUCUGCUCUGGGGGCUGACCUUGCACUCUGACCAUAGCUUCUUGACAGGCUGGGGUAUGUGAAGAAAAGAAUUUCACUGUGCUGUAAUGUAUAUGUGAUCAAUAAACACUCAUUAUUCUUAGCAGUGUCUUUUCCACCUUUUAUCCCAGUCAAACUUAUACCUGUUAUCAUCCUCAACCCUAGACUGGGGUGUAUCACUAUCCUCUAUUCCAGAAAAUCUGAGACAGCAAUACUAGAGACACAAUUUUUUAGAAAGUAAAAAGUCUUCUUUUUACAGAAGGAAGGGAAUUGGUGGAGCGACCAAUCAUAACCCUGUAACAUGAAGCCUUCUUUCUACCCCCAAAAUAGUCAAAUUGAACUUGGCUCA
ensembl:lncRNA